rnacentral:lncRNA from 1 species
UUGACUCAAAUUUCUGGUUUGAAUAUUUUUGCAUAAAAUUUAAUGUAAAAGAGUUUUUAUCUAAAAUGGUUUCAAUUUCUAACCUAAAUCCAUGUUAAUUCUACACUUAAUUGAGAAAUAAGAGUUGAAUCUUUAGAUCUAGAAUUGUGAAUUUAAGAUCUAAUGAUAUUGCAUAAAAUAUGGGACUAUGGGUUAGCUCGAAUC